UGGUGCGAUCAUACCAUUGUUAAUGCACCAGAUCCGAUCAGAACUCAACAGUUAAGUGCGCUUGGGCUAGAGUAGUACUGGGAUGGGUGACCUCCUGGGAAGUCCUAGUGUUGCACCCU
rfam:Picea glauca, whole genome shotgun sequence.